CUUCUUCUCUCUCAGGCCUAUUCUUUCCCCCAUCUCCUUGCAGCGACUCAAAAAAAUCCACUUGCAGCCGCCACCGUAAGCCCUCGCCGCCAACCCACAAAAGAGUCCUGGCCGCCGGCUCUCCGGUGCUCUCCGCCUCCCUGGAAGGUUGGAUCUCGCCGUGGUCCCGAAAUCGCCGGCUCUCUCCACCCUUGAGGUCUCAUAUCUCCCAAGGAUCCUCUCCAACCCAGAGUUCCUCGUGGAGGGCACUAACUGACACCGGCGUGCGGGGGCGAGGCAGGCCGCCCCUCCUCCGACCAUCUAACCAUAGCAGCGUGGCUCCUCCGACGAGCGGAUGGGCUCUCCUCUCCCAUCGGCCGGCACCUCGACUCCGACUCCUACAGCUCGCGCCGGCCAACAUCCUCUAUCGCCAAAUCUUAACCACACCAUGUUCUUCUGGACAUCGUCGUGAACCUCCAAGCAGACAAGCCAACCUUCAUGUGUAUUUCCUAUUAUAUCUCUACUCUAUUCUUCUCUGCUCUGUUUUUCAGGAAGAAGCUGGAUUGGUGGCUGUUUCCGGUUUCCAGCAUGCAGAUGGGUAUGCCAACGGCUGUUCCUUGGUUGAACUAUGCAAAGCAUCUCGCUGAAUUCCAAGAUGUACUAUUUUGGGUCUGCAUACAUACCCAAGCAGGGGAGAUAAAAGCUGCAAGUUGGGUAGAAAGCUCGGCAUGAUUCUCGGAUCGACGUCUCUGUUUCUAUUUAUGGUGGGCAAGGAGGAGAAGUGAUCUCUCUACCGUGGGCACCCACUGCAGCUACUGCCGAAGUAUGAGCAAUCCCCGAUGCCAAGAUCAUAGAGCAAUCUCUUGCAAUUUUGCGCUUUUGGCCGUGCGUCCUCUCUUAGGCUCUGAGGCCGAUUUUGCUACUCUCCAACUGAGGUUCUUAGUUCAUGGAAUCAUUAUUUGGAUCUUCUUCCCGGUGCCAAAAUAUGCUGAAUCUGCGAGGUGUUUUCCUGUAGUCUGCCCAUUUUGCCCAGUGCAAGUUCUGUUUGAAAUUUCUUAUCUGUGCUUAACCAAUAUAUGCAGCCUGAUAGUUUAUUGAACAUUUAUUCCAUCUUAUUCUGUCCCUAAAACAUUUUUUUGUGAAAAAAAUGUUUUUACAGGACUGAUAGAUAAAUUGGUGUUGCAGCCUAGAAGCAGAAACAUAUCCCAUAACAAACAUUUAAUUUUUUUUUCUGAAGAACAUUGCAACUGUCAUCUGGAUUGGGACAAAUUUAUCUGAGUUGAUCUUCUCAAACUUGAUUGCCUUUUUUGGGAGAAUAAAAGGGCACUCUUUACGCCAUCCUUGAUUUCAUCAUAUAUGUCUAGGUGUCAUCCUUCUACUACUCUACAACCACCAACACUCAAAUUUCCCAUCUAUAGAUGUGUGUACUUCAUGUGUUUGAUGGGAUGUACAAGUGAAAAAUCAUAGACUCGAUGGCAGGGGCCUUAUCUUUCAUUUUGUUGAGUAGGGGUGCAUGCUUCAGACUAAAACUUGGUGGGUUUCAUUGAUAAUGACAUAUAGUAUCACAAUCACAAUUCUUUUGAUGUAAUUCAGGUAUAUAUCUUGACUGAGUUACCUUUCUUAGAUUACGGCAUCUUGCACUCCUAUUCUUUAAAGGAUUUGGUCUUCCCAGCAUUACACAGCGUACAUGCAUGUUCUUCAUGCAAAUUAUGAGCUCAUACCUACAAAUUAUGUUCUUCAUGCAUGUUCUUCCCGACAUUGUAUGCUUCCAACUAAGUACUGACUACCCUUUUUUUAAUUCUCCAUAUCACAUACCGACUGAAGGAAUUACGUUGGAGUGGUGGUGGCAUUCUAAUGGUUGUUUCCUCACCUGAAAUAAUAUGAAAUAAAUCACAUUUGUGCUUUGUUUGAUAUUUUCCUGGUCUGCUCACAUGCUUAUGUAAUAGUUCCCUCGGAUUGUAGGAACGAGCUUCAUAUAGAUAGGCAGAAAUAUGUUUAUGAUCAAUCAAAGACAAUAGGAA
rnacentral:rRNA from 1 species